CCGGGAUUGCCUUAGUAACGGCGAGUGAAGCGGCAAAAGCUCAAAUUUGAAAUCUGGUACCUUCGGUGCCCGAGUUGUAAUUUGGAGAGGGCAACUUUGGGGCCGUUCCUUGUCUAUGUUCCUUGGAACAGGACGUCAUAGAGGGUGAGAAUCCCGUGUGGCGAGGAGUGCGGUUCUUUGUAAAGUGCCUUCGAAGAGUCGAGUUGUUUGGGAAUGCAGCUCUAAGUGGGUGGUAAAUUCCAUCUAAAGCUAAAUAUUGGCGAGAGACCGAUAGCGAACAAGUACAGUGAUGGAAAGAUGAAAAGAACUUUGAAAAGAGAGUGAAAAAGUACGUGAAAUUGUUGAAAGGGAAGGGCAUUUGAUCAGACAUGGUGUUUUGUGCCCUCUGCUCCUUGUGGGUAGGGGAAUCUCGCAUUUCACUGGGCCAGCAUCAGUUUUGGUGGCAGGAUAAAUCCAUAGGAAUGUAGCUUGCCUCGGUAAGUAUUAUAGCCUGUGGGAAUACUGCCAGCUGGGACUGAGGACUGCGACGUAAGUCAAGGAUGCUGGCAUAAUGGUUAUAUGCCGCCCGUCUUGAAACACGGACCAAGGAGUCUAACGUCUAUGCGAGUGUUUGGGUGUAAAACCCAUACGCGUAAUGAAAGUGAACGUAGGUUGGGGCCUCGCAAGAGGUGCACAAUCGACCGAUCCUGAUGUCUUCGGAUGGAUUUGAGUAAGAGCAUAGCUGUUGGGACCCGAAAGAUGGUGAACUAUGCCUGAAUAGGGUGAAGCCAGAGGAAACUCUGGUGGAGGCUCGUAGCGGUUCUGACGUGCAAAUCGAUCGUCGAAUUUGGGUAUAGGGGCGAAAGACUAAUCGAACCAUCUAGUAGCUGGUCCCUGGCGAUUUUCCCC
rnacentral:rRNA from 1 species